rnacentral:rRNA from 1 species
AGUGAACGCUGGCGGUAGGCCUAACACAUGCAGGUCGAACGGCAGCACAGUAAGAGCUUGCUCUUACGGGUGGCGAGUGGCGGACGGGUGAGGAAUACAUCGGAAUCUACUUUUUCGUGGGGGAUAACGUAGGGAAACUUACGCUAUUACCGCAUACGACCUACGGGUGAAAGCAGGGGAUCUUCGGCCCUUGCGCGAUUGAAUGAGCCGAUGUCGGAUUAGCUAGUUGGCGGGGUAAAGGCCCACCAAGGCGACGAUCCGUAGCUGGUCUGAGAGGAUGAUCAGCCACACUGGAACUGAGACACGGUCCAGACUCCUACGGGAGGCAGCAGUGGGGAAUAUUGGACAAUGGGCGCAAGCCUGAUCCAGCCAUACCGCGUGGGUGAAGAAGGCCUUCGGGUUGUAAAGCCCCUUUGUUGGGAAAGAAAAGCAGCAGGUUAAUACCCCGCUGUUCUGACGGUACCCAAAGAAUAAGCACCGGCUAACUUCGUG